UUCCUAUAUAAUUUUAUUAUUUCUCUCUAUCCUUUGUCUCACUCAAGAGUCCAACUCUACCCACCCUGACAAGUGACAAUAUCUAUUUUUGUCUCAAAUCCCCUACAAAACCCUCUGAACAGCUUCUCCGCCGUCACUUACAGUCAAUCUCCGCCACUAUGCAAGCCCAUUUGCUCUCCCCCACUAUAUACCCCGCCACCAUCACAACCACCACCACCACCAGCCCCCUUUUCCCCAAAUGUAGGACCCACUUAAGAAAACCACCCACUCUCACCAUCCGAGCUUCCUCAACGGAAACAUCGACUCCACCACCACAGACCACUACCUCAACAGACCCAUCUCAGCAACUCAACAAAUACAGCAGCCGCAUUACUCAACCCAAGUCACAGGGUGGUUCACAGGCGAUUCUCUAUGGAGUAGGAUUAACUGAUGAGGAUAUGAACAAACCCCAAAUUGGGAUAUCCUCUGUUUGGUAUGAAGGCAACACUUGUAAUAUGCAUUUGUUAAAGCUUGCUGAAGCUGUUAAAGAAGGGGUUACAGAAGCUGGCAUGGUGGGGUUCAGGUUUAAUACCAUUGGUGUUAGUGAUGCUAUUUCCAUGGGGACUAGAGGCAUGUGUUUUAGUUUGCAGUCAAGAGAUUUGAUUGCUGAUAGUAUUGAAACUGUCAUGUCUGCUCAGUGGUAUGAUGGGAAUAUUGCUAUACCUGGAUGUGAUAAAAAUAUGCCAGGCACAAUUAUGGCGAUGGGAAGAUUAAACAGGCCAAGUAUCAUGAUAUAUGGUGGAACCAUUAAGCCUGGUCAUUUCCAAGGGCACACAUUCGAUAUAGUGUCCGCUUUCCAGGUGUAUGGAGAGUAUGUUAGUGGUGCUGUUAGUGAUGAACAGAGGAUGAAUGUAGUUCGUAAUUCAUGUCCUGGUGCGGGGGCUUGUGGUGGAAUGUAUACUGCAAACACCAUGGCAUCUGCUAUUGAGACAUUGGGCAUGUCGCUGCCUUAUAGCUCUUCCACACCUGCUGAAGACCCACUGAAGUUGGAUGAGUGUCGCCUAGCG
rnacentral:misc_RNA from 1 species